rnacentral:rRNA from 1 species
AUUGUACGCUGGCGGCAUGCCUUACACAUGCAAGUCGAACGGCAGCACGGAGCUUGCUCUGGUGGCGAGUGGCGAACGGGUGAGUAAUAUAUCGGAACGUACCCAGGAGUGGGGGAUAACGUAGCGAAAGUUACGCUAAUACCGCAUACGUCCUAAGGGAGAAAGCGGGGGAUCGCAAGACCUCGUGCUCAUGGAGCGGCCGAUAUCUGAUUAGCUAGUUGGUGGGGUAAAAGCCUACCAAGGCAACGAUCAGUAGCUGGUCUGAGAGGACGACCAGCCACACUGGAACUGAGACACGGUCCAGACUCCUACAGGAGGCAGCAGUGGGGAAUUUUGGACAAUGGGGGCAACCCUGAUCCAGCAAUGCCGCGUGAGUGAAGAAGGCCCUCGGGUUGUAAAGCUCUUUUGUCAGGGAAGAAAAGGGAUUGGCUGAUAUCCAGUCCUCAUGACGGUACCUGAAGAAUAAGCACCGGCUAACUACGUGCCAGCAGCCGCCGCCG